rnacentral:rRNA from 1 species
ACGGUCGCAAGAUAAAAACUCAAAGGAAUUGACGGGGGCCUGCACAAGCGGUGGAGCAUGUGGUUAAUUCGAAGCAACGCGCAGAACCUUACCAACGUUGNACAUCCUCAUCGCGAUUUCCAGAGAUGGAUUUCUUCAGUUCGGCUGGAUGAGUGACAGGUGCUGCAUGGCUGUCGUCAGCUCGUGUCGUGAGAUGUUGGGUUAAGUCCCGCAACGAGCGCAACCCUCGCCUUUAGUUGCCAUCAUUUAGUUGGGUACUAUAAAGGAACCGCCGGUGAUAAGCCGGAGGAAGGUGGGGAUGACGUCAAGUCCUCAUGGCCCUUACGCGUUGGGCUACACACGUGCUACAAUGGCGACUACAGUGGGCAGCGACCAUGCGAGUGGAAGCUAAUCUCCAAAAGUCGUCUCAGUUCGGAUUGUUCUCUGCAACUCGAGAGCAUGAAGGCGGAAUCGCUAGUAAUCGCGGAUCAGCAUGCCGCGGUGAAUACGUUCCCAGGCCUUGUACACACCGCCUGUCACACCAUGGGAGUUGGUUUCACCCGAAGGCAGUGCGCUAACCGCAAGGAGGCAGCUGACCACGGUGGGAUCAGCGACUGGGGUGAAGUCGUAACAAGGUAGCCGUAGGGGAACCUGCGGCUGGAUCACCUCCUUAAGCUUGGAUCCCGGG